rnacentral:lncRNA from 1 species
CAAAAUAUCAUUGAAACUCUUUUAAAUGGAUUGGAAUAAUUCUAACUCUAUCCAUCAAGGAUCAUCGAUCAUCAAGAUAAUGCUCGAUAAGUCUCAUGAUCCACCAGUGACACCUAAUAGAAUAUAGUGUCAAUCCAGUAGAAUGAAAGUAAUGAAUCUCUAGAUGUAGUUACCAUGCGAUUUAGUUCUUCUAUCGUGAGUUCUGACAAGAUGAA